GGUUAAGUUAUUAAGGGCGCAUGGUGGAUGCCUUGGCACUAGGAGCCGAUGAAGGACGGGACUAACACCGAUAUGCUUCGGGGAGCUGUAAGUAAGCUUUGAUCCGGAGAUUUCCGAAUGGGGGAACCCAACUUGUUAUGCAAGUUAUCACCUAAUGAAUAUAUAGUUAGGUUGAAGGUAGACGUUGUGAACUGAAACAUCUCAUUAGCAACAGGAAUAGAAAGAAAAAUCGAUACCGUCAGUAGCGGCGAGCGAAAUCGGUAGAGCCCAAACCAAAGUGCUUGCACUUUGGGGUUGUAGGACUGUCGUUGUGGAGUUACAAAAUUGUUUAUUAGCAGAAUCAGCUGGGAAGCUGAGCGAGACAGGGUGAUAGCCCCGUAUGCGAAAGUAAGCAAUCUCCCGUGCAGGAUCCUGAGUACGGCCGGACACGUGAAAUCCGGUCGGAAUCCGCGAGGACCAUCUCGCAAGGCUAAAUACUCCCUAGUGACCGAUAGUGAACCAGUACCGUGAGGGAAAGGUGAAAAGCACCCCGGAAGGGGAGUGAAAAAGUUCCUGAAACCAUGUGCCUACAAGAAGUUAGAGCCCGUUAAUGGGUGAUAGCGUGCCUUUUGUAGAAUGAACCGGCGAGUUACGAUAACGUGCAAGGUUAAGGUGGAAAGACCGGAGCCGUAGCGAAAGCGAGUCUGAAAUGGGCGAAUUAGUACGUUGUUGUAGACCCGAAACCAGGUGACCUACCCAUGUCCAGGGUGAAGGUGCGGUAAAACGCACUGGAGGCCCGAACCCGUGCAUGUUGAAAAAUGCUGGRAUGAGGUGUGGGUAGCGGUGAAAUUCCAAUCGAACUUGGAG
rnacentral:rRNA from 1 species